UUGAUCCAAAUUGACCCAAUUACCCUGAUUUUAAAAAAAAAACCCUAUUCCCUAUUUUUAACCCAAUGACCCGACCCCAUCUAGGAUAACCCGGUACCAAUUAGAUAAUCUCACCCAUUUCCAUUUACCCAUGCUCUCUCUUUAGAGAUUCUCAUUUACCCCAUUAACUUCUCCUCUGAUUUUCUACAGCGAUCUUGCUCAACAAAUCGAUUUUUCGCCAACGAAAGAAAAUGUCACAAAAUAGUUAUUCGUCUCAAAGAAAAUGUUCUUGUGGUUUGGUGGUCAAAACACUGAUUUCGAGUACUACAUCUAAUUCGGGAAGAAGGUUUUUCCGAUGUCCUCGUCCGGAUUUUUCUUCAUGUGGAUAUUGGGAAUGGGAAGACCAAGCUUUUCUUGAAGUAGCUUACCUACGUAAUUUAGAGCCGUCGUUGAAAGAUGUCAAGAUGGAAAUGGAUAAUUCGAAGAUUGAAGUGGAGAAUUCGAAGAUUGAAAUGGAGAACUUGAAGAUUGUUGUGGAAAAUUUAAAGAUAAAAAUAGGUCAUUUGUCGAAAACAAUUGCUACAUUG